ensembl:lncRNA
AUGCUGUCUGUCCUUUGGCUGGAGCUAUGUUCGCAGAUUUCCCAUGGGAAAGGGGGUGCUUUGCUUCAAAGAGUACUACCAGGGCAUUGCAUGGGCCACAGGGCCCCGUGCACCACUGCCAGGGAAGAUGUAGGGGAUGUGGCUGUCUGCACCAAAGGACUUCACAGGACCCAGCUGGGAGGUGAGGGUGAAACCACCUGCAACCUGUCAUGCUGCAGGUGUGCUUUGCAGGAGCACAUCCCCACGCAUCAGUGUCUGGAAACAAUCUGUUCUGGAGACAGCAGCCUGAUGUGUGCAUCCUUGGUGGGCACCCACAGCUCCAGCCAGAGCCCAGAGAGAGGAGAGGCGCCUGCGCUCUGCCUGCAGCACGCUGGCGAGGCACCUCCUCCUUCAUGCUCGUCCCCGGCUCCUGUGCCGGUUUCUCCCAUUGCUGCCUACCUGUGCCAGGAGCACUCGGGGACUCGUGGGGACCUGUGGCUGGAGCAGGGCGGGUCUGGCCCCUCUGCACACAGGAGCCAGCAGCGGUGGUGCCAGGACGUGGCUGGGGCUGAUGGCAGCAGAGCAAAAUGAAAUGCUCCAAGUUUCCUCUGAUGACCAAAACCACCAACUCAUCACACCAAACAUUUCUUCUUCAUCUUUGCUCCCUAAGAUUCUGCUGCCAUAGAAAUCAAUGGUCUAACCAGGGGGCAGGAUCGAGUCCUUUCUUCUUCCACAAGACUGACUUGGUCCUGAAAUAGACGAUUUACAUCUUUUCCAUAAGCAUUACAGUCAAGUGAAAAGUGCAACACAGAUUGAUCCUUCAACUGCUGCUGUCAUGCGUAGCAAAAGCUCUUUGCUACAGAGUGACCAGGACAGGCAGCUCUUCCUCAAUUUCAGUUCUCCAAGCUGUGGACAUUUAGUGACAUGCAUGCACUAGAAAGACCCACCAAAAUGCAAACGUAAGGGGAAUGCCAACGGUCCCUGGCUCCCAGAUGCCAGCCGGUAAAAGCAGCCCUCAGGGCAUUAGGAUGUUUCUCAACGCUUGAUCAGAAAACUCACGGUGGUGUUACGGUACCCAGGAACAUCUGACAUUUUCCUUUGUGACUCACUGCAUGCGGAAACCAGGCUUGAACCAUGCCCAGGCCACAGAGAUUGGGGUUCUUGGCAUCAAUGCUCCAAAGAGGCAACCAGAAAUGUGCCUCUUCAAACAGAAAGGAGCACAACUUUGUGCAACGUGUAUGCUCACUCAAAAACCAGACUCCACCAGGUCACCAUUCAUGAUGCCAAAGAAAACACUUGGAGUGAGAUGUCAGGUCACAACCCAAGAAUCUGGGCUGGGCACUGCUGCACUUAUUUGCCCAGCCUGCCCUGCUCCUAAAGCGGCUCCCCGAGGUCCUGUGCUCCUCUGCUGCCCAGCCUUGCUGGCAUAGAGGGUAAGAUAUUUUGCUUGCCCUGCCCCUGCCCGGAGCCUGGCUGGCCUGGGAGCAUUUGCAGAGCACGGGCUGAGGUGAGAGCACUGCCAAGGGAAGGGAGCCGAGAGGCUCCAGCACUGCCCAGCUUUUUUAAUUGCGUUAAGCUGCUAAAAUAAAUAAAUAAAUAAAACCCUGGCUCUGCA